ensembl:snRNA Rnu6-799 RNA, U6 small nuclear 799
AUGCUUGCUUCGGCAGCACAUACACUAACAUUGGAACGACACAGAGAAGAGUAGCAUGGCCCCUGUGCAAGGAUGGCGUGCAAAUUCAUGAAGCGUUCCAUAUUUUU